rnacentral:rRNA from 1 species
AUUGAACGCUGGCGGCAGGCUUAACACAUGCAAGUCGAGCGGGGAAGCGUAGCUUGCUACUUUACCUAGCGGCGGACGGGUGAGUAAUGCUUAGGAAUCUGCCUAUUAGUGGGGGACAACAUCUCGAAAGGGAUGCUAAUACCGCAUACGUCCUACGGGAGAAAGCAGGGGACCUUCGGGCCUUGCGCUAAUAGAUGAGCCUAAGUCGGAUUAGCUAGUUGGUGGGGUAAAGGCCUACCAAGGCGACGAUCUGUAGCGGGUCUGAGAGGAUGAUCCGCCACACUGGGACUGAGACACGGCCCAGACUCCUACGGGAGGCAGCAGUGGGGAAUAUUGGACAAUGGGGGGAACCCUGAUCCAGCCAUGCCGCGUGUGUGAAGAAGGCCUUUUGGUUGUAAAGCACUUUAAGCGAGGAGGAGGCUACCGAGAUUAAUACUCUUGGAUAGUGGACGUUACUCGCAGAAUAAGCACCGGCUAACUCUGUG